CAACAUGGUGAGUACAAUUAAUAACAACAAUAUACUGUAUUCUUAAAAACUGCUGAGAGGUUUUAAGUGUUCUCAUCAUAAAAAAUAGGUAUGUGAGCUAAUACAUAUGGUAAUCAUCUCAAUUUAGCCAUUUCACAAUAUAUACAGUCUUCCCACAGUAUCCAGAGGUUCAAAGAUACCUCAGCUACCAAAAUCUAUGGAUGCUCCUGCAAUCAGUCCUGUAGAGCCCAUCAAUACAAAGCUGACUUGCAAAUACUAUAUUUUCCACCCAUGGUUUGUUGAAUCUGUAGAUACUGAGAGCCAACUGCACAUAUUUCAAAACAUCAUGUUGUACAUGUUAAAUACAUAUAACUUUUAAUAUGUCAAUUUAAAAAAGGGAAAAAAAUACAUGACUUUUUUUCCUGCCCCAAAUGAUGGUCCACACUGGCCCAGAGUUUACUACACCAGUUUUAUAGCAAUGUGUUCAGUAAAUGCACUCUUCAUUACAGUUAAUACUAUCCUAUAUUGGUAUAGUACAUUAAAUAUUUCACAAUGCAUUCACAUCUGAAACAUAAUGAAUUAGGUAACAAAAUCAUUAUCAUACGCUGAUGCUAAAGAUGGAGAGCCCUGAAGACACUUGUGGACUCGUGUCGGUUCAGUUAACAUUCUCAUGAUGAUUACCUUCCUAAUCUAUGUAUCUAGCUUCAUUCUCUCUUGAGCUUGGCUCUAUAUUAAUAUAUUCAGCUCCUUUCUGGACACCUCAAAUUAGAUCGUCUACAGGCACUUCAAAUCAAAUGUUGAAAACAAACUAAUAUUCUUCCACUUUCAAACUUGAUUCUCUUCCAGUAUUCACUAUCUAGAAGAAUGGUACCAUCACCUCUCAUCUAUUUUAGAAAGGAACCAGUCUCUUUAAGUUUGAUCUUGCCAUUAUCUGCCCAACUGCUGCUAGUCACUCUUCUGCCAAACUGAAUUGCAAAUUUUAAAAUGCUCCUGUCACUAUCUUACUAAAAAUCUCUUUGAGAAACUCUUUAAUUUUCUGAUCACUCUUAUAAAUCCCUUCAUAAUUCGGUCUCAUUUUACCACUCCAGACUAAUGUCUUGCUAUUCUCCAUUACCUUUAAACCCCAUAGUCUAGCCAUACCAAAUUAUACAUAAAUCUCUGAAGCAAUAGCAAUUGGGCUAUAUACCUGCUAUUCUCUGAACCUGCAACACUCUCUCAAUUCCAGGCCUUCCUCUGUUUAGCUUAUUUUAAUUUUAAUUAUUCUUCAGGUCCUAAUUCAGUUUGCGGAAAUCAGAGUCCUAGAUGUCCCCAUGAUGUUGUAUAUUUUCAUCUAUCAAGGCACUUACACUUUGUAUUGUAAGUAUCCAUUUAUAUGUCUGACUCUCUCUUAGACUAUGAGCUAGUUACUCUUAGGCAAUACCACAUUUCUACUGCUUAACAUUGUCCACUGCACAGGUAGGUGCUCAACAAUAGUUUGUUGGAUUGAAUUUAGCUUACUGUUACAUGGCUUCUAAGAAAUUAUUUGCUUAUCUAAUAAUUUGCUAGUAUAUUUUAAAAUUACAAUUUCAACUGUUUAAAUGUAAAUUCCUUUCUUUUAUUUCAGUCUUUUAAUUUUUAAAAAUAGCUUCUUCUUUAAAGUAUUAGAAUAUUGAACAUUAAAGAAGAGUUACAUAUUCUUUAUUUCAAAGAGAGGAUGAAAAUCUGAAACUACUGACUAUAACUGUGUUCAAAAAAUAAACAUAAAAAAUAAAGUUUAUCUUUAAAGUUACUCAAUUUUUAAAAAUUAAGUUACUAUGCCAAAUAUAAAAUUUUAUCUAAAUCUAUCUAAAAUAUUUAUCUACUUUGCACUCAGAAUCUGACAUACAUAUUACUGUAUUUGAAAAUGAGUCUUUUCUCCUAAAAAUUUGAUUUUUUGUCUUAAAAACCAAGUCAUUUUCUAGAAGAAUAAUUUCCACUUUGAUCCCAUGAAAUCAGUGAGAAAAAAGGGUUUAUGUACUCACAUGAUACAUUAAAAUAGGAUUGAUUCACCUUAUAGACAACUUUUUUUCCAAGUGAGAUAUAUCUAUCAUGUUUUGGUAGGCUUCUUACGGGGAAAGUAGCUAUUAUAAAUUAUUCAAUGGAACAAAUGCUUCCCACCAUUCCUCACUACUGACUUAAAAAAAAAAUCCAACACUGGAUUCUAUUCCACAGUGAAUAUAUAUGAAAAAUACACAGUGGCCCUCACUGAUCAAUCAUGGUAGAACCCUCAUGACACAGCCAUAGCCAACAAACAGUGCAAAACAUUUACCAUCUCUUUUUGGGACAAAAGGAAAAAUGUGAAAAUGGCAGGAUUACUUGGGUUUUAAGAGGAAAAAACUGUCUUGGCAAAAAUAAUUCAUUAUCAUUCACCCCCUCUUAAUACAUGAAGAUUAAAGGCCUCCCUCACCUCCAGGAAGUUUAUUAUAAAUCAAAUCAUAUUUAAAAACAUUAAGAGUUAGUUGCCUUUUAAAUAACUCAUAUGAAUAAGCUAUUUUAAAAUCAACUGUUUUAUAAAAUAAAUUAACAUUCAUUUAUGGAAUUAAUUGGGCUAUUUUAAAAACCAUUCUGCCUAAAACAAAAUAUAACCCUCACUAUACUAUGGUAUAUUCAGUAGAAAAUCCAAGGUGCUCUAAAAUAAAAACUGUUUCUAUUUAAAAAACAAGGGCUGGGGCAGUCUUUUUUUGUUUGUUUGUUUGUAUGUUUAAACGAAGACAUUCCUGCACAAUAAAAAUUCACUUAACUUUACUCCAUAAGUACUUGACCUGUACCACAAAGAAGCUCAGGCUUGCAAAAUGGCUAGUAUGAGAAGCAAAAAGAGUAAGUUUGUAAGUCGAGCUGGGCAGCAACCAUAUGGCAUUACAAAGGACCACUAGGAGACAAUAAACAUACCAAAAAAUGCUUAAUUUAAGGUAAAUCCUUAUUGUUUAAUGAAGUGAAAAAUGAAUAAAAUUAGAGUCAAGAUACAUAGGAUAGAAAAUUUGGGGACACGGAAGACAAACUCCAUGGUCAUAUCCUUGGACCAUACAAUUUUACAGCAAACUGUUACUACUAGGUAAAAAUCCACUGUGCGAUGCUCUUUGUGAAUUAACCAAUGAAAACACCAGAAGGCUAGCUAGACUAGUUAAUGUUUCCACUUGAACUUUGAUCAACAUUUUCCUGAUACAGUUGUAUCUACAGAUUGAAAAGUGUUUUCAAGGGUUUCAGUUGGCAGUUAGGACAAUUUUUUGUUGUUGUAUUCAAAUCAACCAUGUCUGCAAAGAAAGCAUGCUAAGUGUUUAGUAUGUGUGUAUAUAAACUCAGUUUUAAACCUGAAUGCAAGGAUCUUGAAUACUGCACAGUGCUUUCUGUGGCACUUACAAUUUACUAAUAAAUUACAAAAUGGUACUUUGAAAAACCGAGAAAGCAAUAUUGAUAUCUCCCCUAAAAUAAGCUCUUUUCAAAAAGAAAGAUUUUGCCAAAAAUGAACAGCUAGAUUAAAGAGUUUCCAAAGCACUUGUAGCUGCAAUACUCAAUGCUGAAAUAAUUUCACAGUAUUAGAGUGACCAGAUAUCUACAGAUAUAAUUUUAAAACAAAGGUUUAGAAUUUUCCAGAGAAGGCCUUCCUAAAUAUUUAAAAUCUGUUUUCAUGUUUAAAUUUUACAUGGUAGACCUAUGACAUCAACAUAAAACAAAUAUAUAUAAAUUUCAAAUGGUUUAUCCAUCAAUUCCUUUAAAAGCUGUAUUAUUUGGAUGCCAUAAACUUUGCUCAGAAAUAAUUCUGCAUUUCCUGCCAUAAUUCUUAACUAUGUUUUGGCCAAAAAACUUAAAGUUAAUCAUAAUAAUCUGGGCAUUUUGGUUUUCUAAAAUGAAAGAAAUAUGCUUAAAAAAAGAAGAAAAAUAAAUAUGCUUCUUAUGUCAUAGAUAAGUAUACAUACAUGGCUUCCAUGAUUGCUUUUCUCUAAUGGCAAUUCCAGAUGUGAGGGUCAAACUUGUCACUGAAUCUGGCUUUCCUUAAUACAAAACCAUUCGGUGUGCUGAUACAGUGAACUGCUUCCCAAAGUUCAAAUAUACUUUCAUACUUUUGUUUAAGCUUAUGUAAAGCUUUUAAUUUAAAAGCAAUUCUUAAUAAAUAAAACAUGUAAAUGUAAAAUGUAAAUAUAAAAUACACAAUUUAAAAUAACUUUAGGCAGCAAGCUCUAGAUUUCCAUUAGAAUCUCAGCAACAAUUAGAACACAUUUUUAAUAAGAGCUUCACUAUGUCAUCCUGUUAGCUUGGCUUUAUUGUAUUAAUACAGGAAUAAGUACUAUCAGAAAGAAGUUCAAAAGCACUAUCUACAUAGAGUACAAAUUUCUGAUAUAAGUACUUGGUAUUACACAGCAUUAACAGUUGAAAUAGCAACAGAAAUACAUAUUAUGGACAAGAUUGCAUAAGCAUACAUUUGCUCCACUGACAGCACCAUCCCAAGUAUCAUGGGAAGCAAGGAAGGGCCCUCAUACAUAUAGCAUAGAAAUUAUAUAACCAAAACUCCAUGGAUCCAUUUGUAACUCUCUAGUCAAAGCUAAACAUCACAUACAUUUCCAUUUACCUUAGAUGCUAAAGAAAAACUCAAUUUCCUUUGAACACCUUUUGGCAGAAAGUCAAACAAUAAAGAAUUUGACAUUAGUUUUUGACGGAUUGCAUAUAGAUUACACCAAAACAUUUAAAAAUGUUAAUCAUUUUAUUUAAUACUAAUUUAAUACAAAUAAGCAGUUAUGAUUUCCUUAUUUGGCAGCCAAAUAUUUGGAAUGCUAUUGGAUGUCCUAUGCACCGACCCCUAUAACAAAAGCCAGUUCAUUAUUUAUUCAGAUUAUUACUCAGAUGGGAGAAAAAAUGCUAAUGGAAAAUCUGAGAAAAUAUCAGCAUCACUAAGAUAAACCAAAACCUAUCUUAACAGAAAAAAAACAGUGCAAUGUUUCAAGAAGAACUGGAAUUAUAUAUUCUGAAUGAUCCUAAGCUUUUAUGAGCCACUGACUUAGGGGAGAGUUCUAUUGAUAUUAGCCACCUUCAUUAGGUAGUCAGCAUCUUAUUUAUCUAACCCUGGGGUUAAACAUUUUAUUACAGUAGUCAAUUUGGAAGUUAUAAAAUUCUUCUGUUAGGGGUUAUUUGGGGGUUAGAAUAGGGAUGCAGCUAGGAAAAUCAGUGAAAUCUCCAGAAUGAGCAGCCUGGCACUUUAGUAUCUCACUGGGCACUCAGGAAAGCUAUACUAUAGAAAGCAGGUUACCGUUUAUGAUAGCUGUAUUUUCUGUGUUAUCUAGAGAAAAACAGGUUCAUCCAUGCAAAAUGGAGUGUUUUAGAAGAUACUGCUGCUAAAAUGAAAGACUUUUCAAAAGGAAAAAGUGAUUAUUCCAGAUGAAAUGAGAAGUUCCAAUGUCAACCUUACUUCCUGAAUCAGCAAAAAUCAAGGCUUUACUCAGAAUAGGAAAUUGGAGAUUUUCUGUUAAUUUACAUAUCUUUUUUGCUGAGUAUGUUUUAGCUGAAAUAUGAGAGAACUUCUAAGAGACAGCACUUCUCAUUUCCAAUCGUGCUUUGCUAGGGCCUUAUAAAAUACAACUACUUGGAACUAAGAAUACAUAAAUUUUACUAGCAGUGAUGUAGAAGAAUCAAGAGUUUAAGUGAGAAAUAGCUUUUCAUUUAUAACAUUUUGUUAUACUCAUUACCCAGGUCAAUACCAUACCAAAUACCCAGCUCUAAGUAAAAAUUUUAGGUAUGAGUGGGACGUAUCUAAAUAGCUAAAGGUUUAGCAUAUUAUAAGCAAAAUUCUUAAAUGAGCAUCAAAAUAAAAAACAAGAAAAACAUCUUUGACUCAGAUACCUUAUUGUGAUGUGCACACUUAUUAUGUAUAUCAAUCCUUUGAUUAAAUGAGAGGUCCAAGUGUGUUAAGAAGCCUAGAUAAAUCUCAGAAAUUAUUGCUGAAUUGUUAUUUUUUAAAAGUGAAAUUUUAUUCAAUACUUUAUAAAAUUUCAAUAGUAUUAUUAAAAAUCUGAAAGUAUAUCCAUAUUAUUAACACAUAUCUAUCUGUUGGCUAUUUCUUUUAUGUCAAUAUUUUAUUGUAUAUUAAAUGUUUUUAAUCGUAGUUGGGUGGCUUCUUAACAAUAAUAAACACAAAAUGAUGGCCUUUUAGCUAGAAAAAAAAAUUUUUGUUUAAUUCCAUCCCUUUUGAAAGAAAUGACAUAAAGUAUGCCAUCUCUAUCCCAACCUUUGCUACUCCUGCUGCUUCUUUUCCUUUAUCUUAGGAGUUGAAGGAUGAAAUGUGGUCAGAUUUUCUCUAUUUAAAUGAGUUUAUUCAGUGAGGGUAAAAAAAAAGUAUCUUCUGAUUUAAUCUUAAGUAACAAGAAAAAUAAAACAUUUCUUAACCACAAACUUUUCAAACAUCAAUAUUUUAUUUUCUCUGGUCUUUAUAUAACACCUUACCAGAAUUCACCCAGUAACCAUUAUUAAUAAGUAUAAGUGAAAUUUCAUUUAUCUGCCUUCUAACACGCAACUAAUUAAAUAUCAGAUUAACGUAGUUAGAAUUUGGGCAACUCUUUUUUAUUAACCUCUAUAAAAAUUAUCUAACAAUACUUAAUGGCACAUAAAACAUAAAAAUAUAAAUUUAAUAUUCCGAGAAACUAGAUUAAAUUUGGAACAAUUUAAAACCAAAAAUAUAUACUGAGUUAUUUUACUAUGAGAAAAACAGGACCUGAACAAAAAACAAACACCAAUCAUGGGAAAGGUAAGUAAGUAAAGUUUUUAAAGAUUUUUCUGUAUUCUCUUCGCAUAAUGAGUCACUUAUAAGGAGGAGUAUUCACAAACUCAAAUGUAUAAUGUUCCAAACUCUCGAUCACAACAGACAACCUUCUAAUGAUGUGUAAAUUAAAGCCCAGGUUUUAGGUUGAUCAUUACUCUAAUAAUUGGCUUUUAAUACAUCAUUUUGCUACAUAAAUGCCUCAGCAGCUUACCCAGGGAAAUUAUCAAACAUUUUCCUUUUUAUUUUAAUGUCUACUGAACAUAUCUGAAUGAUUCCCAUACAUUUUCAUUCGAUAUUGAUAUUAAAAGACAAAAACAGGAAAAAGAAAAAGUCUUUGUUUAAAAGUUUUAGGAACCAAUCUCAUCCUGAAUUAAACAUACAGGUAAAGCACAGUGCAGUUAAAAGGCAGACUGUAUCCCAAAUAUACAAGCGCAAAGGACAUCAGGGUAUAUGAUAUAGAAAACCAACUUCCCCAACUGUAAAGGGUUUGAACAGGUCAAUUAUUUCAAACCAUCCUGUGAUGAAUCAUCACUUUUUCAACAGUGUACAGAGACUAAGGGAUGGCCAAUAAUAAAAAAUGACAGUGCGGUGGCCUAGCCCUAUAGAAGCUGGUUUUCAUAGACCGAGCUGAGAUAUAUCUGCUGUUUUCUAAGGCAGUAUCCCAUGCUUAAAACCCUCCCUCUCUGCCUUUGUUCAGCUCUUUUACUAGCAACCAAUUGCUUUCUUUUGGUUCAGCCUAGUAAAAAACUCAAAGGACUAGAACAUGAAGGUCAUCUAGGUCUACAACGUAGAUGAACAAGCCAACAAAGCAACAUCACAGGGCAAAGAGCAAAGGCAUUGUAAUAAGAAUCUAAUACCAACAAAAAGGAAAAUCAAUAUUAAAUAAUGAAAAACAGUAAACACUUAGGACGAAAAGAAUGGCUGCUUUUGCUUUAUAUAUUUAAUGCUCUUUUAAAUAAAAAAUGAAAAACUAGCCAUUUAAUAAUUAUUUUCAAAUUCAAGUGAAAUACUUUCUGCAACACACAAUAAUAAUACAAUGACCUACUAGCUAGGAAAAAAUAUACUAAAAUUUAUGUGUAAGUAAGGGACCAUUGUUAAGUCCUUUGGCUUUUUCUAAAAAUAAAUUUCUUUCAAUCUAUGCAGAACACUGACGACUCCAAUUUAUUGUUGUUCUUAAAAUUUAAAAACAAAACUAACUACAACUAUAAAGAGUCCUAAGCUAUAUAGCAGAAACAAUCAACAUGUAAUAAAAUAACCAGAGAAUUUGUUUACUUAUCAAUCCUAUGUAGGAAGAAUGAAAAUAAUUUCAUAAUUGUUUAUAAAAAGCCACCUUUCCAGCUUUUGUUUUCCCUACUACAACUUUGCAACUAUUUCCUUUUUACAUUUUCAUUGCAAUCGUGAUGUUAAUUGCUGCCGUCACAUUUAUUCGACAUGCCAAGUCUGCAGUGGGGCAAAUGGGAUUCUGAUGAUUCGAA